UACGUAGGGUGCGAGCGUUAAUCGGAAUUACUGGGCGUAAAGCGUGCGCAGGCGGUCUGUUAAGACCGAUGUGAAAUCCCCGGGCUUAACCUGGGAACUGCAUUGGUGACUGGCAGGCUUUGAGUGUGGCAGAGGGAGGUAGAAUUCCACGUGUAGCAGUGAAAUGCGUAGAGAUGUGGAGGAAUACCGAUGGCGAAGGCAGCCUCCUGGGCCAACACUGACGCUCAUGCACGAAAGCGUGGGGAGCAAACAGGAUUGAGAUACC
rnacentral:rRNA from 1 species